AUUGAACGCUGGCGGCAGGCCUAACACAUGCAAGUCGAACGAGUGGCGGACGGGUGAGUAAUGUCUGGGAAACUGCCUGAUGGCGGGGGAUAACUACUGGAAACGGUAGCUAAUCCCGCAUACAAUCGGAUGUGCCCAGAUGGGAUUAGCUAGUAGGUGGGGUAACGGCUCACCUAGGCGACGUUCCCUAGCUGGUCUGAGCGGAUGACCAGCGACACUGGAACUGAGAGAGGGGCCAGACUCCUACGGGAGGCAGCAGUGGGGAAUAAUGCACAAUGGGCGCAAGCCUGAUGCAGCCAUGCCGCUUGGAGGAAGAAGGCCGUCGGGUUGUAAAGUACUUUCAGCGGGGAGGCGUUACCAGCAGAAGAAGCACCGGCUAACUCCGUGCCAGCAGCCGCGGUAAUUC
rnacentral:rRNA from 1 species